UAUAUUUGAUUUAUAUGUGGCUCCAAAAAUAAUCGGUAUAUACAAAAUUAUGCGGGAAUUAAUUGGAUUAGACGGUAUAAUUGGAUAAUGGAUGCUAGGCGGGGAUUAGUCAUUAAUCGAGGCAGAGAGGGUGGACCUAACGAUUUUACGGGGCGUAAUAGGUGCUAGGCGGAUAUUUUUAAAACAGGGGUCUAUAGUAUACCUUCCACGUCCACUUUUUAUCCACUUCCUUUUCUGCUGCUUUCUAUUCGAUGGCAUUGUAUCGAACAGGUGUACAUUUCCAACUUAGCAUCUAAGCUUCGGUCAACACCUCUUCACAUACAAUUCUUGUAUUCUCAAUCCCGUACCUCACGAGGAUCUUCAUUCGCCCGUUGCAUCAUCUCAAAGCUAUGAACCAACUUCUGUUAUUCGACAAUGUACUCUGCCAGAAUCAUCUGCGGCUUCCACCUGAAUCGGAGCAUCACGAAGAGUGUGUUGAUAAUCCCUCUCGAGCUUUUUGAGUCGCUUCUCUGCUUUGGAAACUGACAUGUGCACAGCCGUAUCAGCCUCUGGUGACACCUUGUCAUGGAACGAAGAAUAUCAUAGCUUUGAAUGAAGCAACCUAUCAAACAAUUGAUUAUCCAAACUCUUGCACCCCACGCCAAGUGGUUCUCUUCCUCUUUGUGAUGCUUCUUCUGUAUUCAGCUUGUCAAGAACAUUCUGCAGUUGCUCCACUAAACCUUCG